UGCUCAACUAUCUAAGCACGAGCUUGAACAACUUCGAGUUAUCAAAAGUAACUUUUCAUGAGACGAUGGGGCUUUUGACUAUGUUCAUGUUGUUAGCUAAUUUGUGCUUACCUGAUAACUGGACCAUAUAUCACUCGUUCAUCGCUGUUUUGUCCGGCGAAAAGACCAUUGAUUUAAAAAAAAAGAACUGAAAAAGAGAUAGGUAUGAUUUUAGUUUCUUGGCUUUGGCUUCUCAUGAACAUGUUCAGAUUCUUCUGGGGAGUUUUAUGUCUACC